GGGGGUGGGGGUGGGGGCACGGGAAGCCCAUGCUCUGGGAUGGGUAGCCGAGCUUGGCAGGAGGGUGGUGCAGGCUGAGUUGGAGGCAAGAGUGGGGGUGGUGAGGUGGGAGCGGGAAGCCUGUGUCUGUUCCACCUCUGAGCCAGUUCGGGGACUCCUUGAACAUGGGGACCCUAGUGAUGGCUGCGGAGGGCAAGGUCGCCUCCUCAGGGGUUCUUGAGGACUGAGAGCGUUCAGUGAGUGCUCAAUCGUGGACUCGGGGCACCAUGGCAUCCUGAAAGGAGCCCUGGAAUUAUUCCAUGUGGGUGGUCGCCUGCUCUACCUGCUAGGGAGUUCACCCCUGAGCUUUGGAGAGCUAUUGCCACACCGAUCCCCACUCUGAGCCUGGGUGGGGCAGGGGACCUCAGAGAUGAACAGACACAGUGCUAUGGCAGGACAGCGUGGUCUGUGAUACGGGAUGUGGCUGCCUUAGACUGGUAGGAAGAAUCGGGGGGAGCUCUAAAUUGGCUUGGGGAUCGGGGAAGGCUUCUCAGAGGAAGUGGCAGAGGAGUUGAGCCUAGAGGAUGAGGAUGCUGCCAGAUGGAAGGCAGGGAAGGUACUCCAGGUAGUGGGAAUGGCAGGAGGAAAUGUUGGGAGAGAAGAAAGCUCUAAGCGGGUUUGGGACAGAGUCGAGGACCCAGGUAAAUGGAGGUGGAAGCUCUGGGAGAGGGACAAAGGACAGAUCUCACAGGGCUGAGGAGUCGAAAUGUUAUCCUGAGAACACUGGGGAGGUGGCAGGAGAGGAGGUGGGCCCCGUCUGGGGUCUGAUGCUAGAAAAGAUGCCCUUCUCUGCUUCACAGGCUGGGCGCAGACCACCAGCCUUCCGGAGCCCGGGGGCCCAGGCACCGAGGAGAGCCCGGAAAAGAACAGAAGGCGGCGCCAGCUCCAAUGUCUUCUCCAUGUUUGAUCAGUCCCAGAUCCAGGAGUUUAAAGAGGCCUUCACCAUCAUGGACCAGAACCGGGAUGGCUUCAUUGACAAGGAGGACCUGAGGGACACCUUUGCUGCCCUGGGCGUCUCCCUCUCCUCCCCAGGCCGCAUCAACGUGAAGAAUGAGGAGCUGGAGGCCAUGGUGAAGGAGGCCCCUGGGCCCAUCAACUUCACGGUCUUCCUGACCAUGUUUGGGGAGAAGCUGAAGGGGACGCCAGGACUGGGGCUUCAGCUGAACAUGUCAUGCGAACGGGCUGAGCUGCAUGCUCAGCCGGCAGUGGAGACAGGAGCCAGGCUGAGGCAGGCACUGUCUCGGCCCUUUAAUUAGGACAAGGACACGUUGUCAUGAGACUCCCAACAGCGAGGGGAAGGUGUAGCCACUCUGCACCCUUUGAUGAGGUUCAAAGUCUGCAGAAGAGAGUGGCUGCGUGGCCAGCCCUGUGCCAGGCUUGUCACCCUGGGCCAGCCUCAGAGAUGCCCAAUGACCCAGACACAUCCUGUCCUGGGCUCCCAGUCUGAUGAGGGAGACACAGCUGACCUGACCCAGCCUGAUGGGCAGCAGCACAGAGGGGUGGAACGAGCAGGGGGCUCUGGCGAUCCAAAGAGUUGGCUUCAAAUCCUGCCUCCCCUUAUGAGUGGGGAUCUCAGGAAAGUAACAGAGACUCUCCGAGCCUCAGCUUCCUUUUGACAAACUGAGGACAUCAGUACCUACCAUGUGGGGUGUUCUGGGGACCCAGGGGAGCAAACAGUGAAGCUACAGGGCGGAGCUUGGCGCAGAGCGCUCAGAUGUGUUUGCGGACUUGAGGGAAUAAUGUUAGUCCAGAUCUUUACCGUGCGUUGUCAUAACUGACCCUGGGAGGUGGGCAGCAAACACCACCUUUUUCUCCAUUUCACCAAUGACACAGCCAAGCCUGAAAGAAGGAAGGGGACAUCCUUGGGGAAGGCACGGACCCAGAGGAGACCAUUCUCCAUGCCUUCAAGGUGUUCGACACUGAAGGGAAAGGCUUCAUCAAGG